UACGGAGGGGACUAGCGUUGUUCGGAAUUACUGGGCGUAAAGCGCACGUAGGCGGAUUUGUAAGUCAGGGGUGAAAUCCCGGGGCUCAACCUCGGAACUGCCUUUGAUACUGCAAAUCUCGAGUCCGGAAGAGGUGAGUGGAAUUCCUAGUGUAGAGGUGAAAUUCGUAGAUAUUAGGAAAAACACCAGUGGCGAAGGCGGCUCACUGGUCCGGUACUGACGCUGAGGUGCGAAAGCGUGGGGAGACAAGCAGG
rnacentral:rRNA from 1 species